rnacentral:rRNA from 1 species
CUGAGACCUGAUGCCGAGCCGAUUGUGGUGAAGUGGAUGAUCCUAUGCUGUCGAGAAAAGCCUCUAGCGAGUUUCAUGGCGGCCCGUACCCCAAACCGACUCAGGUGGUCAGGUAGAGAAUACCGAGGCGUUCGGGUGAACUAUGGUUAAGGAACUCGGCAAAAUGCCCCCGUAACUUCGGGAGAAGGGGGGCCAUUCCUGGUGACGGCACUUGCUGCCAGAGCUGGGGGUGGCCGCAGAGACCAGCGAGAAGCGACUGUUUACUAAAAACACAGGUCCGUGCGAAGCCGUAAGGCGAUGUAUACGGACUGACGCCUGCCCGGUGCUGGAACGUUAAGGGGACCGGUUAGCUCUGAUUCGUCGGGGCGAAGCUGAGAACUUAAGCGCCAGUAAACGGCGGUGGUAACUAUAACCAUCCUAAGGUAGCGAAAUUCCUUGUCGGGUAAGUUCCGACCUGCACGAAUGGCGUAACGACUUCUCGACUGUCUCAACCAUAGGCCCGGUGAAAUUGCAUUACGAGUAAAGAUGCUCGUUUCGCGCAGCAGGACGGAAAGACCCCGGGACCUUUACUAUAGCUUGAUAUUGGUGUUCGGUUCGGCUUGUGUAGGAUAGGUGGGAGACUUUGAAGCAGCAACGCCAGUUGUUGUGGAGUCGUCGUUGAAAUACCACUCUGGUCGUGCUGGAUGUCUAACCUGGGUCCGUGAUCCGGAUCAGGGACAGUGUCUGGUGGGUAGUUUAACUGGGGCGGUUGCCUCCUAAAGGGUAACGGAGGCGCCCAAAGGUUCCCUCAGCCUGGUUGGCAAUCAGGUGUUGAGUGUAAGUGCACAAGGGAGCUUGACUGUGAGACUGACGGGUCGAGCAGGUACGAAAGUAGGGACUAGUGAUCCGGCGGUGGCUUGUGGAAGCGCCGUCGCUCAACGGAUAAAAGGUACCCCGGGGAUAACAGGCUGAUCUUCCCCAAGAGUCCAUAUCGACGGGAUGGUUUGGCACCUCGAUGUCGGCUCGUCGCAUCCUGGGGCUGGAGUAGGUCCCAAGGGUUGGGCUGUUCGCCCAUUAAAGCGGUACGCGAGCUGGGUUUAGAACGUCGUGAGACAGUUCGGUCCCUAUCCGCUGUGCGCGUAGGAGUGUUGAGAAGGGCUGUCCCUAGUACGAGAGGACCGGGACGGACGAACCUCUGGUGUGCCAGUUGUUCUGCCAAGGGCAUGGCUGGUUGGCUACGUUCGGGAGGGAUAACCGCUGAAAGCAUCUAAGCGGGAAGCCUGCUUCGAGAUGAGCACUCCCACCUCCUUGAGAGGGUAAGGCUCCCAGUAGACGACUGGGUUGAUAGGCCGGAUAUGGAAGCCCUGUGAGGGGUGGAGUUGACCGGUACUAAUAGGCCGAGGGCUUGUCCUC